UGGCCAGAGGUAGCAAAUGCACUAACUCCCA
rnacentral:piRNA from 1 species